rnacentral:rRNA from 1 species
CAAAACGACUAAAUGCGAUACGUGGUGUGAAUUGCAGAAUCCCGUGAACCAUCGAGUUUUUGAACGCAAGUUGCGCCCAAAGCCUUUUGGUUGAGGGCACGUCUGCCUGGG